UUUCAGAUGACGAGUCCCAAAUAGGACGAAACGCGUGUCGUGGAU
rnacentral:hammerhead_ribozyme from 1 species